ACCAUGUGAGCCUGGGAAGACAGGACAAUUGCCACUGGUGUCCAAUAAGAUAAGUCUUAUAAAAUAUAUAGAUUUAUGAUAAUUAAGACUGAGCUAGCAGAUUAGAAAUCCUAGUCAUUGGCCAAGCAGCAUUUGUACCCAAUAUAAGUCUCUGUGUAUUAUUUUGGCCACCCAUGUGGUGGGCAAAACUCAAGCGGGUGGUGAAAAGAUUUAUUGUAAAAAACCACCUCCUUCAAUUCUAUGCUGCCUAACCUGUGCAUUCUCAACUGUCCUGCAGUUUUGUAUUAUAAAGGUAUCCUAAAGUGUGAAUAGGAGUUGGAUUGGGAAAGAAUUGAUCAAACUUAAUAGUAUACAAUAACAAAAUGACUGAGGGUGAUAAAGAUUUUGUGUGAGUGUGUACAUUCACAAACAUGACAAUGAGUAUUGCAAUAAGACCUGAGCUUAAAUUCAUUGAUUACUAUUAAUUUUGCCAAAAGCUUAAAUCUGAACAUAAAUUCUAUUAGGUGAAUUUGGUAUCAAAACAGAUUGAGACAAUGCAGUAGAUCAAGCUCAAAUAAUAAUUACAUUUUUACCUUAUUUGUAAUACACAUUGGGUUUCUAUUUUAUUGUUCUCUUAUUUUAUAUACUAAAUGGAAAUUAUGUAAACCUUAAUUAUAUGGAGACAAAAUGACCACCAUAUUUUUUCCUUUUCUUUAAUAAGGAAAAUCAACUUUAAAAGAACAUGAAUGAAGUUUGUUGUAAUGACAUAAACAAAAAUUUAAAACUUCUAAGUAGCCAUGUAAAAUAGUGGAAGGGAUAAAUGCUUUGUCUGGGUCUCUUUUAUGAGAGUCAUAAAACCAGACAUGAGUGUCCUACCUUCAUGACCUCCCAACACUUAUUAUUCACUUUGGGAUUAGGAUAUCAACAUAUGACUUGGGAGGAAAACCAUACAUUUCAAAUGCUGCAACCAUAUUACUGUGGUGUCUAUUUAAAGUUUGUACCUAGUCAGGUUAUUACUUACAUACAUUUUUCUCCCUCAGAUUCUAAAUUUUAUGCAGUUUUCUGUCAGAGUUAAAGCAAUAAUAAAAUCCAACCAUUAAGUGCCCAGUCAGAAAAUGCAAAGGCCUGAGGAGAAAUGCUUUGCUUAGAACCAUUUCAUGUUAGUAUUUUUACUAGAUUGUAUAACUUUGCCAUAAAGUUAAUGCUCCAGACACCUCUAAAAUGCUGUUUUCAAUAUAACUUUUCCAGCAUAAGUUUCCUUGGUUUUUACCCCCAGGGCACAUCUAAAGCUUAGAUAAAUGUCAAAUAUCCUUUUAGAGGUGAUAAAACAAAGAAGAAAAUAUCAUCAUCUAAGGAGGGAACUACAAAGUAAAUUUAAUUAGGGCAAUUUAUCCUCUUGAAUCCAGAUGCAGCCCUCCUAACCUACCUUUGUCCUUCCAUGCAGACCCAUUCCUGCUCCUGAUAAAUGGUUGUUUGCACAACAUAUAGGGCCAGUAUGUAUACAUGACAUGUAAUUUGAUGCCAUAUGCUUUGUAUCUGUGUCAAUGAUUUGCUACCUGCAUUUCUUUUCUUGUGAAAAUUCCCAGUAUAGUUUCCAUGAAAAUAGACUGCAAAUGGUUAUGCUGAAUUUAGAUUUUUGUCUGAGCCCAGACAGAAACAGCUGAUGAAACCAGCACAAUGUAAUGCUCAGACCUUGCCUGCACAGUAGGCUGUAAAUGCAGAGCUUCUGGAAGACAAGGUAUUUUAAGAGAAAGAGUCUUUUUAUAACAUUAUAGCAUUUAUAGCAUUCUGUGCAUUUUUCCCUUCAGGGGCCUGGGUGAGGCUUUAAGACAAAAUGCCUUUGAAGGAGUGAUGGUAUAAACAAUGAACCCAUUUUUCUGCCCAUCCUACAUGCCCCGUGUAUCCAAGAUCAAGUAUACAGCAGUUUUAGCGUCUGAGAUCCAAGAAGGAGAAAAUAUUACCCAAGUAAACAGAAAAUGCAGAGCAAACAACUUCCAAAACUAUAAAAAUGACAGAGACAGCUGGCUGCCUGGAUGGUCACUCAAGGAUCUUGUGAAACACUGGUGCAUACAUAUUCAGCCUACAGGACUGGAAUAUCUCACAGACUUUUCUAUGAAACAGGAAUUUGGAAGGACUUACUUCGUCUUUGCAAAGAUCUCCAGUUGCAUUCAUUUGUGUCCUGCUUGUCCAAUUUGGGCAGCCUACUAUCAGCAGUCAAGGGAAGAGCAGUGUCACAAAGAUAGCAAACUCCAUGCCCAUCAUGUUCUCUAAAAUAAAUUGGUGCUGCCAGAAGAAAAUACAUCUCACUGUCAUAAAAUACCUUAUGUUAUUAAAAUAUAUUAAAUGCCAUAUUCUGUAGAUAUGAAGUGUUUAAAGACCAUCUAUCCAUCUAAAAUACAUCUGUUUGCACUUGAAAACAUAUUUAACAUAGCUAUAAAUUUCACUGUUAUAAGUGACUAACUACUAAUCUGCAUUUCUUAGUUAUACUACAUAAUUUGGAAUAAUAGCUUUCAAGGACUAGAACUUUACCUUACAGUUUUGGAUGAACUUCAUUUUAAGAUCUUACACUAUAAUACCUUAAACAAGAAUAGAAAAAAAUAUAUAAUAUGUUAAAACAAAAACAGCCUUAUAUUUGUAUCAAUAUACAAAAAUCCAUAUCAAUUUAUCAGAUAUCAAAGAGGUUAAAGAACCACAAUCUCUUAAAUACAUUCAGGGUACACAAACUUAGUUCCUAGUUAUCUCGUUAUUCCUUCAGACUCAAGCCAGAAAUCACAUACAGGAAGCUAGAUGAACUUUACUUCUACAAUUAGUUAAUACACCAUAUGACCAUUAAUAUCAAACCUGAAAGUUUAAAUAUAUAUAAUAAUAUCACAGAUUUUGAGCUAAUAUUUAUACAUUAAGAAAUGUUUUAAUAUUCAAAAUAAAACCAAUGGAUUAUGAGAUUAGUAGAAAUAGAAUAGUACCUUAAUUUUUGUUUUUCUUCUGUCCCAUAGCAGGUGACUCUUCUGACAGGAAAGAGAGAUUUGGGGUUUCUUUUAGUGAGCAUACUUGGUUUAGAGAAGGAGAGAGCCACACUACAAGUCAAAGUCCAGCUUUCAUUUUUAAUUGAAUUGGAAACACAAAAGUGUACAGUUUGUCUUUUUUAUUUGUAAAACACAGCAAAAACAAACAUUUGGGAAGAUUUAUAAAAUUCUAUUCUGUUGAAGGUAUGUUAUACAAUUAAGCAAAUCUACUCUUCGCCUUGGGACAUUUUCUCUUGAUGAUUUGCCCUUCUUCUUCCCAUGUUCCCUUUGUCGUGGUCUUUACUUGCUUUUAUUGGAUGCUCUUAUUCUCCUGGAAACAAAACAAACCAAAACCCUGCCCCAAACCUAACUAUGGCAGGUUCCUUUUGGCAGUUUAUAUCUGAUCAAAUGAAGGCAUUUGUUAGUAGUAGAAGGCAUCAGGUAGUUUAGAGUGAAUUGACAUACUGUUUAAUGAACUAUCACCUCUCCUAAUCAAGAUGACUCUUCUAAAAGAAUCUUAUCAUUAUUAAACCUAAUGGUAACCAUAGCUGUUCUUUUCAUAUCAAACGCAAAAUCUCCUCCCCUAUAUAAAACAUAUACUGACUUCCAUUCUGAAGUCAACUUAUCAUUAAAAUAUACAGGCUGAUUUAAUUCAGCAGUUUUUUCUACUAUCCAAUGCCUCUCCACAGCUGUCAUUCCUUUCUCAUCAGCAUUUUAAAAAUUUAUUUAAAGUUACCUGUGUGGUGGUGGUACAUGCCUUUAAUCCCAACAUUUAGGGAAUAGGGGCAGGCAGAUCUCAGUGAGUUUGAGAUCAGCCUGGUCUAAAACAUGAUUGCCAGGACUGUUAUACAGAGAAACCCUGUGUCAAAAAACAAAAAAUAAAGUUAAUAAACCAUUUUAAAUGUAGGGCUGUCAGUACCUUUGGAAGACUAACAGCUGUUGGGCCCAUUUAUGCACAACCUGAAUAGUCAGUGACUAAUUUUGAUAAUAACUUGUAAUAUUUCUCUCAGAAGCAUGUUUUGUUUUAUGGUUUAAUUUCUGAGAUUGGAGGACUAUUAUUCUGUUUUCCAUUGCUGUAACCAAUGAUGUCCCCAUAAUUUCAAACCUAUGUUAGCCACAUAUGACCUUAAUUGCCCUAAAUGUCCUUUCAUCCCUAUACACUCAACUCACCUUAUAUUUUGUUUGACCUGAGAUAAAGUUCCAAUCCCUAGAAGCUGAAUAUCUAACUCCUGAAGUGGUCAAUCUGGAUACCAAGGUUUUGGUGAAAUUAUUGUUACAUCUGCACUUAUGUCAACCACAACUUCAAUUGCAAUGUUAUUUAUUCAUAUUUUUAGCUUUUGUCUUUGAUGAUUUAUUAAAAUUUGAAAAACAGCUGUCUUAUUCUUUCUCCUGAAAGUUUUUGUUUCAUCUAAUAAAAUCAUUCUAUCAUCUAGAGCAGUAUGGUUUUUUAACAAUAAGCAUUAAGUCCUUAAUUGAUCCAUGGAUGAACUUCCAAUGCUAUCAGAGAAUGAUUGAACCAAAUUUGAUAUUGGGGCCUGCAAAAGUCUUCCUAAGGUAUUUCCAGAUAGAAAAGGGUUACCUUGCCUGUCCCUUGUUAAUUUGCAUUCAUUCGUCCAAUGCAGGCUUUGCCAUGCUUUCUGCAUAUUCUGGAAGGCUAGGGACUUCUGUUUGAAUUGGCUCUAGAAAAAAAAAAACACAUUGUUUCUAGGAAUGCUUAGCCUACCGGUCCUCUACAGAUGGUCUUGUUUGCCACAACCAAAACACCUGACAUUUUGCUUUUUCUUCAAAUUUUUAGAAAUCACUUUUCCUAUCAAACUAGUAUCAUAAGUGUGAGAUUCAAUAUUAGCUGUAUUUCUGAUCCAUUUACCUAUGGGUACUGAUCUUGCUUUUAAAGGCCUAAUCACUCCUUUUCAUUCUGUGGUAGAAUGAAAAGACAAAGAUGCAAUUAGUAUUUGUCUAACUUCUGCAUGUAAUAUUAUAUUUACAGCGGAAGUAAAUAUUUGAAAAAAAAGCAGUGAACACUUCUUUGGGGGUAUAUAAUUUUGGUAAAUUACUCAGUCCUCUUUCCUAAUUCUUUAGCCCUCUCCCAAGUAUUCAAAGCAGCUAAAGACAUAAUGCCAAGAUGUAGCCAAUGAAUUCAAUUCAGUAUAUGGGCCUUCACCAAGAAACUUGUCUAUGAAAUAUCAGUGGCUCUACCCUAUUUCAUUAUUCUAUGGCCCUAGCUCCCUCUUUCCACCAUGUUCUCCAUUGUAACUGAGAAUGAGCCUCCAAUAUUACUGUAGCUAAGUCUUUUCAGUCUUGGGGGUAAUUCAGUUUUGAGUUGUACAGGAAUUUAACAUCUGUUUCAUAUAGGAAAAAUGCAUACCAUAUGAAAUUACUGCUUCCUUAAAUCUCUUCAAAUCUAACAUUAUACAGGAUUCCAUUUAACUUCUACACAACAUUGGGGCUGUCUAUUGUCCAAUGAUCAUUCUUAUAUAGUAACUAGAUAAACUCAUGUUGCUUUUCUAAUAACUUUGGACCACUCCUCUUCAGUUUCAUUAUGCAGUGCUAUGGUAGGUACUGCUCUAUAUUUCAGCAUCUCUGUGUGAAUAUUUUUCUUAAGUUUCAUUAGUAGGUCUCCCUAAAGCUUGUACCUUAGUAAUAUAAACCUUUCUAAGACAUAUUUUAUCAGUCAGCUGGUUUUUUUCCCAAGUCAGGGUUUCUCUGUGUAGCUUUGGAGCCUAUCCUGGCACUUGCUCUGGAGAUCACAGUGAUAUGCCUGCCUCUGCCUCCCGAGUGCUGGGAUUAAAGGCGUAUGCCACCAAUGCUUGGUCCUUAUCAGUCAACUUUUAAUAUUUGGCUUAGUUAUUAAACCACUUUUUAAAGGAUAGCUAUGAAUUACCAGUUAACAGUUAUACUCAACAUUAUGCUGAUCCAACUUAAGUCUGCUAUUCCUUCUUUUAUUUUUUUCAAUUUUAAACCACCCAUUGUGGAACUAUACAGAGUCCUAACACUCUGAAUUGGAAUAAUAUUCCCCAUUCUUAAUGUGGGGAUUUUAAAAAAUCCUAAUUAUAACCUAGGUUAGGAAUAUAACCUAAUUCCCUCCCUAGGAAUUCCCAGGUGUCUCUCCAGAUCUAUUGACUUUUUAGUUUGUGCACAGCAUUGGUAGCUGUGAUGACUGAGGAUGGGAUGUCUGGCAACAGCAACAGAAUCAGAACAGGCAUGAACAGGUAUUGAGGUGGCUGGGUUGGCAGGUGGGUAGUCCAGGGAGCAGAUGCAGGGAAAGCCCCUGACCCAUGUGAAGGGAAAUGAGCCUGAGAUGUGGACCCAAUGAAACCUGCAGUAGAAGCCCAUGUGGC
rnacentral:lncRNA from 1 species